UACGUAGGGACCAAGCGUUGUUCGGAUUUACUGGGCGUAAAGGGCGCGUAGGCGGUCAGCACAAGUCAGUUGUGAAAUCUCCGGGCUUAACUCGGAAAGGUCAACUGAUACUGUGCGACUAGAGUGCGGAAGGGGCAACUGGAAUUCUCGGUGUAGCGGUGAAAUGCGUAGAUAUGUGGAGGAACACCGAUGGCGAAGGCAGCCCCCUGGGUCAAAACUGACGCUCAUGCACGAAAGCGUGGGGAGCAAACAGG
rnacentral:rRNA from 1 species